CUACGGGGUGCACCAGUGGGGAAUAUUGCACAAUGGGCGCAAGCCUGAUGCAGCCAUGCCGCGUGUAUGAAGAAGGCCUUCGGGUUGUAAAGUACUUUCAGCGGGGAGGAAGGGAGUAAAGUUAAUACCUUUGCUCAUUGACGUUACCCGCAGAAGAAGCACCGGCUAACUCCGUGCCAGCAGCCGCGGUAAUACGGAGGGUGCAAGCGUUAAUCGGAAUUACUGGGCGUAAAGCGCACGCAGGCGGUUUGUUAAGUCAGAUGUGACAUCCCCGGGCUCAACCUGGGAACUGCAUCUGAUACUGGCAAGCUUGAGUCUCGUAGAGGGGGGUAGAAUUCCAGGUGUAGCGGUGAAAUGCGUAGAGAUCUGGAGGAAUACCGGUGGCGAAGGCGGCCCCCUGGACGAAGACUGACGCUCAGGUGCGAAAGCGUGGGGAGCAAACAGGAUUAGAUACCCCAGUAGUC
rnacentral:rRNA from 1 species